rnacentral:misc_RNA from 1 species
UGGCAACUGCCACUUGGCAACACUCCGGUUCAUGCGCCGGCUUCAAUGGCUUUUGACUUUCGUUUUGGCCGGCCAAACUUCUCCUUAAUCGCCAUUAAUUAUCAUGAUACACAGCCACUGCCAUCUUCUAUUUACAGGUACAUUUACUAAUUAACCUAAAAGACAGUGCUUGCUUCCAUUACUACAAUUCCAAAGCCCACAUUUGCUUUUCUUCCUUUUGUCCUUGUUUGCUUCUUCAAAUUUUCUAUAUUCCCUCUUUUCAAAGACGGAGCUAUCCAUGAAUUCACAAUCCCAUUACUUAUUAACUUCUCUGCCCUCUAUUGUUCCUUUCUUUGCUCUCCUCUCCCCCCUGUCCAUUUAUUUCCCAUGAACUGGAAGAGAGAAGAGCGGUGUGCAAUUAAAUCUCUCAUUCUUGAAGAAACUCACGAGAUUUCCAUGCACAAACGCUUCUUUUUCUCUCUGAUCCAAACCACCUGUAUGUGAUGUGCCUCUUAAAUACCAUAUGGUUUUCAUUUUGUUUAUUCAUAUUCCUCUCUUUCAUUUCCUUUGUAACCAGUGAAAAUGAGUCAGCUCACUCUCUAUGUGAUAUUGCAGGAAUCUGCCCGGAGAGAAAGAGAAGUGACAACGAUUCUCGGGUUCCUGAGGCGGCAAAUGAACGGUGUAGUUGCGAGGAGGCGAACGAGUAUGAGUCUAAAAGAACGCCUAGGAUUGAGAGGCUUGGGUUGUUGCGGGGCCACAUGGGGAUUCAAGCCUACCACCAUUAGCGUCAUAAGCGAUGAGGAAGAGGCACUAGAACAAGAGCGAGAAGAAAUAGAGGUCGUAAAUGCAGGAUCGAAUCCAACGGAAGGAGUAUCGGAUCCGGGUUGUCCGGCUGUAACUUCAAUUCCGGCAUCCUCAGGUAUGAACUUAGCUGCGGCAUUAGCUGCGGAGCGACAAUUCCGGGAGGCGAGUAUUAUUGGUCCGAGCACAAAUAACGUGGAAGCGAUAACAGCAGCGGGAACACCGUUGAGGGUAUCUUUGAUGAGACUGCUGGAGGAAGCGGACGGUGGAGAUGGGGAAGUGGGCGCAGAGAAUGAGAAAGGAGCAGUGGGGAGCGAUACUGUGUGCUGCGUGUGCAUGGCGAGGAAAAAGGGCGCAGCGUUUAUCCCAUGUGGGCAUACAUAUUGCAGGGUGUGUUCGAGGGAGCUAUGGCUGAAUAGAGGGUCGUGUCCCCUUUGUAAUCGAUCAAUUCUCGAGAUUCUCGAUAUUUUCUAGUGGGAAUUGAUGAUGGUCAGGUCAGCUGAAUGGAUUUGAAGAGAGAAGACACUGAAUUGGGCUUUAGUUUUCUAGGUUGAAGUUCCACUCUCAAUGGGCUUCUACACAAUACAGAAUGGGCUUUUAAAAAUUGGCAAUAGCUUUGAUUUUGCUAAUAGUUUAUCAGGAAAGGAUCAUUAAUUGCAAUAAAAAAUCAAUCAUUUUCUUCAAGUACUUGCAUUCAUUUGUUCUUUGGCAACCUGGAUGAGUAUAAGCCAGUAAAGGUUGCUUAUGAAGAAUGCGGGAAUAAUAGUUGUAAGUAUGAAAUGGACAUUUUCCUGUUACGUGCAAGGGACACAUGUAUCUUUCAAUGAAAAAGCUUCUUUAAGAGUACUGUUGGGUGUUCCACAUUUGCAUCAAAUUCCACCUUUUCACUUGUAUAAAGCCUCUUUCCGUUUUCGCUCGAAUAUUGUCUUCUAUGUAUUCAGUAACAUCUGUGAUUUUUAAUGUUCCCUUCCCUGUGAUGUUACUUACAUCCCAAAACAAUGUAUAAGAAGUUGCAAGAUUUGGUGUACCCUCUCAUUUUUCACUUAAAGCUGUUGUUAUUAUCGG